UUAAGUUCAGCGGGUAUCCCUACCUGAUCCGAGGUCAACCUAAGAGAAUUUGGGGUUAUGGCAAGCAGACCACUGGGACCCUGUAGCGAGAAGAAAAUUACUACGCUUAGAGCCCAACGGCACCGCCACUGGUUUUAAGGGACGCGGGAAUCGCGAACCCCAAGACCACGCACAGGGCGUGAUUGGUUAUAAUGACGCUC
rnacentral:misc_RNA from 1 species